GACGUAGGGCGCGAGCGUUGUCCGGAAUUAUUGGGCGUAAAGAGCUUGUAGGCGGUCUGUCGCGUCUGCUGUGAAAAUCCGGGGCUCAACCCCGGACUUGCAGUGGGUACGGGCAGACUAGAGUGUGGUAGGGGAGACUGGAAUUCCUGGUGUAGCGGUGAAAUGCGCAGAUAUCAGGAGGAACACCGAUGGCGAAGGCAGGUCUCUGGGCCACUACUGACGCUGAGAAGCGAAAGCAUGGGGAGCGAACAGG
rnacentral:rRNA from 1 species